rnacentral:rRNA from 1 species
UACGGGGGGUGCGAGCGUUAUUCGGAAUUAUUGGGCGUAAAGGGCGCGCAGGCGGUUGAAUAAGUCAGGUGUGAAAGCCCUUGGCUUAACCAAGGAAGUGCAUUUGAUACUAUUUGACUUGAGUAUGGGAGAGGGAAGUGGAAUUCCUGGUGUAGAGGUGAAAUUCGUAGAUAUCAGGAGGAACACCGGUGGCGAAAGCGACUUCCUGGACCAAUACUGACGCUGAGGCGCGAAGGCGUGGGGAGCAAACCGG